CCCCCAUUCUACACCAAGGCUAGGUACUUGCCUUGAACCAGGUUCUCGGAGAUGGUGUUUCCAGAGUCUCAGAAGCCUUAAACCACAAGGACAGGACCACAUUCCAGGCAUCCCAAGUUAGAAAACUGAAAGAAAACAUUUUUUAAAAAAAGACCUUGUUUCCCAAGGUCUCACAUUUCCACAGUGCACACAAUUAGGUACUUCAACUGCAAUCAGAUUAACUGGCCUGCUUCAGGAAUUUCAAAAUCCCACUUAGACUUGUUCUGUGGGAAUGCACAAUACAAGUUCUAAACAGGUGACUUGAAAACAUUCAGAGCACAGUCUUUGCAAAACAGAGACUUUAGUUCUAAAAUAGCAAGACAGAAUAUUUUCAAGUGUGGAAACCAGAGAUUAGAAAAUUACAGAGCUUUGAUGCUGCAUGCAAUGCCGGCAGGACUAUCACUUCAAAGUAAGCUUGAGUCCCUUUUAGGAAAAUGUAAUAGAAAUGUCUUGCUGCAGGGAGGAGGCUGCUGGGAAGGCAAGUUUAUCAGAGAUAGACACUGUUGCUAUUUUGGUGUUUGUUUUGAAUCAGCUGAAAAGUCCACACCAGACAUGCAUCUGACCACAUUUUUAUUUCAAAAUUUUUGGUCCCUGUAGAUUCUAUUUCAAAUUUUGACAGCUAGAAAUCUAUUAGUAUUACAGUUCCCAGAAUUCUGGUAGCCCUAGCUCUAGCUGGCUUCACACACUGUUGGGCUUUUUUUUUUUUUUCCCAUCAAUUUUUAAAACAUUUCUUUGGAACUUCACUUACUCUGUGUUUAAAGUAUGAGGCUGAAUUAUUUUUAAAAUGCUGUAAGGGUCACAUAUUGGUCAAAUCAUUCUCACUGCUGCUUGACAAAAAUAUAGUGCAGAGGUCUUUAAAGUUAUUGUCAAAUUAAGUGCAUGCAUAGAAGAAAAAGAUCUGCUGGAUUUCAUGCUCACACGGGUGACCUGGAGGGAAGGGAAAGGAUACCCAGUGACAAGAUUCUUGGAAGGUGAGGAAAUGAGCAAGAAGCAUUACAUCAUAAGGAGAAAGUCUGUGCCGUCCAGAGAGCCUAUGUGCCUUCUGCAGUAUGCAGCUGUUGGGCUCUUGGAUUCUUCCCAGAUUCUGUGCAGGGUCCCCAGAGCCAUAGCUACUUUGGAGUGCACCGAGCUACAAUCAAUACAGUGCAAUAUAAAUGCUGAGCACCUGUCAUGGUCUUGGAUGCUGGAUUUAUUCAGGUAAAGUCAAGUCUUUGCUCAUUGGAAUUCCUAGUUCCUUGACCCUCGAUUCUCUAAGUAAGGGAGACUUUCAUCAGAACAUCUUUUGUGUUAACCUGUGUGGUUGACAUUCAUUCUAACUGUAUGUCUUCUACUUUUCCACCUUCAUAGCUAGAGUAUGAUUCAUUUCUGGCUUAUAAACUCUGCAGUGUCUGAAAUUGCUCCUCUGAAUAUCAACUACUAUUGCACAUGACGUAUUGAGGGCCCCAGAGAUUGGGCUUCCCUGGAUUGUUGGGGCUUGGAAUUCAGAAGAGGCUGUGGGGAAGGGGUUUGGCAAUUGAGGCCAGGCAUAAAA
ensembl:lincRNA